rnacentral:rRNA from 1 species
GUCUAAGGCCAUGCUACCCCAAUCCCGUCUGAUCUCAGAAGAUAAGCAGGGUUGGGCCUGGUUAGUACUUGGAUGGGAGACCACCUAGGAAGAUCAGCUGCUGUAGGCA